UCAUCUCGAAACUGUGCUUUGAUGCUCUCCACCGACGCUCAGCUUCACGCAGCGCACCAUUGUUCGUGUGGGUGUGCGUGGGGUUGGGGAGCCCCUCGAUUCCCCUCAUCCAUUUUUCAACCCCUUUUUCCAUUCCCCACUUCACAGCCCAUCAUUUCUCCUUUGAAUUCAAUCCCCAAUCCUUACUCUGUUGCGCUUUUUUUGCAUUCCAUUUCUUAAUCAUCACUUAUGAGCAAGUGGGUAUUCAUUAAAAUUUCCAAGCAGCCCCUAUUGGUUGCCUCUGCCCUGUGUUGCUUCCUUCAAGAAAUUUGAUGAACUUUUGUAGGUCAAAUCCAAGAAAAAACAAGUUCAAACACUCUUUGAUGUGUUCUGUGAAUUCCAUUUUAUAUUUGCUGUUAUAUAUUUCUGUGGAAAGAACAAGAUAAAUUCAAUUUUUAUCUCUGAUUUGUUCUUUCUUUUUUGAUUUAAGAACAUGAUACAAUGCCACUUUCCCAUUUUACACUAUUUCCUUUCCCUUUCACUCCCAUAAUCCAUCCCACUACUGAUGAACACUGUGUGGGUUGAGCUAUAUGCCCCAGCUUGGACUACACGAUGAUACUGCAUCUGCUACUGUGAGAAAUAUAUGGUCUUGUCCUAUCAAAUCUGCAAACUCUGAUGCGUGAAGCUUGUGGAUCACCACGGGCCCUGGAUUGGCUAGAAUCAGCUGUUUCCAUUGAUGAACAUAACUUCAGGUUAGGAGACACUAAGUUCAUUCAUAUCUUUUUUUACUGUUGUUUGUUAAAAUGAUCUGAAUUGGCUGCAUUUGAGACUAGUUAUGCUGUUUUUACCUGUAUUUCUCGUUUCUUGAGACUCCCAUUUAGUUCUUCCAAAGCAUGUAUGCCACUUGUGUCUAUGUCAGUUACAGCUUCAGCAUGAAACAUAGACAUCAUUGUUAGUUUA